AUACGUAGGGGGCGAGCGUUGUCCGGAAUUACUGGGCGUAAAGGGUGCGUAGGCGGCUAUUUAAGUCUCGUGUGAAAGGUCCCGGCUCAACCGGGAACGGCCAUGGGAAACUGGAUAGCUUGAGUGCUGGAGAGGGUUGCGGAAUUCCCGGUGUAGCGGUGAAAUGCGUAGAUAUCAGGAGGAACACCAGUGGCGAAGGCGGCAACCUGGACAGUAACUGACGCUGAUGCACGAAAGCUGGGGGAGCAAACAGGAAUAGAUACCCUGGUAGUCCCAGCCGUAAACGAUGAGUGCUAGGUGUUGCGGGUAUCGACCCCUGCAGUGCCGCAGUUAACGCAAUAAGCACUCCGCCUGGGGAGUACGGCCGCAAGGCUGAA
rnacentral:rRNA from 1 species